UGGGGAAUAUUGGACAAUGGGCGAAAGCCUGAUCCAGCCAUGCCGCGUGUGUGAAGAAGGUCUUCGGAUUGUAAAGCACUUUAAGUUGGGAGGAAGGGCAGUAAGUUAAUACCUUGCUGUUUUGACGUUACCGACAGAAUAAGCACCGGCUAACUCUGUGC
rnacentral:rRNA from 1 species